UACAGAGGGGGCAAGCGUUGUUCUGAAUUACUGGGCGUAAAGGGCGCGUAGGCGGCCUGCUACGUCGAGCGUGAAAUCCCCGGGCUCAACCCGGGAACUGCGUCCGAUACUGACAGGCUUGAAUCCGGGAGAGGGAUGUGGAAUUCCAGGUGUAGCGGUGAAAUGCGUAGAUAUCUGGAGGAACAUCGGUGGCGAAGGCGGCAUCCUGGACCGGUAUUGACGCUGAGGCGCGAAAGCCAGGGGAGCAAACGGG
rnacentral:rRNA from 1 species